GAUCUCUUAGUGGGAGGGGCCUGGCCAUCUCUGGGCCCGGAGGAGAAGGUGUCGGCCACACGAGCUGAACCGAAGGCGGGCUGGAGAUAUGCCCUGCUGUCUCCUUGCCCUUCUCCUGGGUACUUUCUUAGGUGUCAGAGCUCAGACCAUCCAUCAAUGGCCACUUAUCAGGGUUCAGCCUGCAGGCAGCCCGCUCUCCCUGGAGUGUACUGUGAAGGGGACAUCAAACCCCAGCCUGUACUGGUACCGGCAGGUGGCCGAAGGGGCCCUCCAGCUGCUCUUCUACUCCAUCAGUGCUGAGCAGAUAAACGCUGAGGAACCCCAGAAAUUUGAAGCCUCCAGGCCCCAGGACGGCCGGUUCAUCCUGAGUUCUAAGAAGCUCCUGCUCAGUAACUCUGGCUUCUACCUCUGUGCCUGGACUCUCACACUGAGCUGGGAGCCCUCAUUCAGCGACUGGGCAGAGGAUGUUUGUCACUGGGUUCCUGACUGUCAGCCGAUGUGA